rnacentral:rRNA from 1 species
CCCAGACUCCUACGGGAGGCAGCAGUGGGGGAUAUUGCACAAUGGGGGAAACCCUGAUGCAGCGACGCCGCGUGGGUGAAGAAGUAUUUCGGUAUGUAAAGCACUAUCAGCAGGGAAGAAAGAAGACGGUACCUGACUAAGAAGCCCCGGCUAACUACGUGCCAGCAGCCGCGGUAAUACGUAGGGGGCGAGCGUUAUCCGGAUUCACUGGGUGUAAAGGGAGCGUAGACGGCCGUGCAAGCCAGGAGUGAAAGCCCGGGGCCCAACCCCGGGACUGCUCUUGGAACUGUGCGGCUGGAGUGCGGGAGGGGCAGGCGGAAUUCCUGGUGUAGCGGUGAAAUGCGUAGAUAUCAGGAGGAACACCGGCGGCGAAGGCGGCCUGCUGGACCGCGACUGACGUUGAGGCUCGAAAGCGUGGGGAGCGAACAGGAUUAGAUACCCCAGUACC